CGGGCCGAGCGGCGGCCGGGGCCGGCAGCACGCGAGGGGAGCGGGCACCUGCCCAAGGCGAGGCGGGCGCGGCCGGGAGGGGGCGGGGGGGACACACACGGGACGCCCUGGCUCACCGCUCCAUAAUGCAGCGCGUAUUACUCAGUGCAUUCAGGGAUUAGCCCGACUUGAAGUGUGGGGCGAUUCUGCGUCUCCCUGCUUCUCGCCUCUUGGAAAGGGGAGAGGGGAGAAGCGGCCCCCCCGGUCGCCCCCCACCCCCCCGGUCCGUCCCAGUGCGCAGCAACUUCGAGCUCCCAAGCGAGCGAGCUCUUAGCGUGUCAGGCCGCACAAUGCGGGGCUAAUUCCUGCUGCAAAAGGCAAGUGGUGAAGAAUCAAUCGCAGGCUUUAUACAAUCAAAAGGGAUGAUGGGCUUAGGGUUGCGAAUAUUUUUUCUUUAAAGUUCCCUGCCCCAGUCUGAAUUUCUCCUGCUCCUUACCCCCGUCCUAUUAAUAAUCCCAUGCAGGCGAUUGCAGACCGAGGUAAAGCUAUCAUUUGUAUGCGCCUGAAGAUUAAUUUCCCCCAUGUACCAACUCAACGGCAUAGUUAUCUCUUUAACAGGGAAAACAGUUUGGCUCCAUUGUCGGGUUGCCAAGACCGCCUUUUGAGAAAGGGAGCCCGGCUAGCCUCUGAUCGAACUCAAAGCUGUUGGAUCAAUAAAUCCUUUCAGACUAGGACAAUUAGCCUCUGAAAUAACUAAUUCUUCAAGGGAGAAAAGGGACAGACUCUUUCUCUUUGCUGAGUUUAAUCAAAGACACUCCACACCGCGCAAGUAGGACCUGAACAUGGACCGCCAGGCUCUUCACUGACCGAGUGCAUUGAUUUCACCAGCUGAGAACCUGACUCAGAUGCUUUGUACUACACUGAUUGCACAACCCCUGUAAAAGGGCCUGUGGCUUCCAGAAAGCACAGGAGUUUUUAGUUCCACCUGAUACUGGGAAUGCGAACUCGCUCUAAAGGCAGAACAAAGCUCCCUCCUUAAAUUCACUGGGUUAUUUAGUAGCUCUAAAGUUUUUAGAGCCUCAGGAUCAUCCCUCUCCCUAAAGUAACCACCUUGUCUGGCUCCCAGGAACAAUGUUCUGCUUCUCUCAGCUUUGACCCCAUUAGGUAAAUCCAUGUGGAUUUUUUUUUCUGGCUGACUAGCUGAAAAAAAGAUGUUUUUUCUCUUGGUUUACCUCACACCAUUCAAAAAAGCUAAACAGAUUCUCAAAAUGUUUAUGAUCAGAUUGAAUAGGCCAAAUUAAUCCUUUGUGCUUGCAGCCUGUUUUUCGUUAAUUAGUGGAAACCCAACCUGACAAUAUUCAAUAUCACAGUUUCCAGACUAAGAGUGCAUUGCUGAGAUAAAUGGAGUAGAAGGAAGAUGUCAGUUCCUGGCAUUAUCAUCCUCCUGUACAAUAGCAUUUUGUUUGUUUGUUGGAAUAUAUAUGAUAGGGGCAGAUAAUUUUUUUUUUCAGAGCCUAGGACAUUUCAAUAAAUUCAUGUAAAUAAAAUAUACAGACAAAGAAAAAUUGUGGUUAUACAGCUCUUUUGGAAAUCUCCAUCAUCUUGUACAAAUCUCCUCUCUUUUGGGUGCCCUCACAGACGUGUUGAACUCUGCUCCAGCCAGCUGUGAGAGGUAAAGAUGACCAUGGUGAGAAUAUUACUUUUUCUAGAUAUUGUCCCUUUUGAAAUGAACACACUGGCAAGACAUUUUAGAAUUCUUUAAAAUGGCUCCAGAAAAAAAGACUUUCAAGUGAGGAGCAGGUAUUAAAAAAACCCCAACUCAAUAAACAAACAAAAGAAUCCAACAAAACAAAGCUAAAGUUAUCCUGUCUCCUUUGUAACCUUCCUCCCUUGCUAUGGAAGAGUGAAAGUUUUUCUUGAAAGCCAAACCCCUGUGGGUUUGCAGAUUAUUCCCUGCACACAGUGAUCAAAGAGCAGGCUGUGGUUCUGAGCAGACCACAGAAAUGAUGGCCAGAGGCCUUGGACUGUCAGCAAGGCUGACACGCUGCCCCGGCAGUGCUGCACGACAGCACCUCCAUCACUUCCAGCCACUGGGACACCUGACUUUUUGUGCCACACAAGGCAGUCUGACAGCCAGCACUUUUCUCAUCCUUUUUAUUCCCUUGAAACUGGAAAAUAAGCUGCAGUUUCUCUUUUGCAAGGAUCCAUUUCUCCAUUAGUCGUAGUUUCCUGGACUUUCACAUUACUUCUGGACAGAGUUUUACUCACUGUUGUGACAAGUGCUGUGCUCUGUACCCCACACAUAUUCCUGUCGUAGAGCACUUUUAUAAAGCACAAUGUACCUGAAUUUUUUACUAAGGGGUUCAUCCCAGCCCACUUGACCAAUAGUCAUCUCUAUUUAAGGAAAAUUCUCCGUGCUCUAAAUGGGUCAUUUUGUAGUCAAUGUGUCUGAACUUCAAUUACAAAUUAAAUGUUUAACAGAUGCAAGGGGGUUGCCUCUGGAACAGAGUCUUUACUCUCCUAGGUUUUUUUGAUGAGUCCUAUGAACGCACUAAUCCAAAAUCUAGGCAAGUUCUGUGGCCAGACCCCAUUGUUAAUGGAAAACUGGAAUCAUCCAUGCAGAACCACUGAUUUGUGUCCCCUAGCAGUCUGGCUUAUAUUAAAU
rnacentral:lncRNA from 13 species